UUCUGGUUGAUCCUGCCGGACCCGACUGUUAUCAGAGCAGGACUAAGCCAUGCGAGUCAACGCCGCAAGGCGUGGCAUACGACUCAGUAACACGCAGUCAACAUGCCCAAAGGACGUGGAUAACCUCGGGAAACUGAGGAUAAACCGCGAUAGGCCAAGGUUUCUGGAAUGAGCCAUGGCCGAAAUCUAUAUGGCCUUUGGAUUGGACUGCGGCCGAUCAGACUGUUGGUGAGGUAAUGGCCCACCAAACCUGUAACCGGUACGGGCUUUGAGAGAAGGAGCCCGGAGAUGGGCACUGAGACAAGGGCCCAGGCCCUAUGGGGCGCAGCAGGCGCGAAACCUCUGCAAUAGGCGAAAGCUUGACAGGGUUACUCUGAGUGAUGCCCGCUAAGGGUAUCUUUUGGCACCUCUAAAAAUGGUGCAGAAUAAGGGGUGGGCAAGUCUGGUGUCAGCCGCCGCGGUAAUACCAGCACCCCGAGUUGUCGGGACGAUUAUUGGGCCUAAAGCAUCCGUAGCCUGUUCUGCAAGUCCUCCGUUAAAUCCACCUGCUUAACGGAUGGGCUGCGGGGGAUACUGCAGAGCUAGGAGGCGGGAGAGGCAAACGGUACUCAGUGGGUAGGGGUAAAAUCCUUUGAUCUACUGAAGACCACCAGUGGCGAAGGCGGUUUGCCAGAACGCGCUCGACGGUGAGGGAUGAAAGCUGGGGGAGCAAACCGGAUUAGAUACCCGGGUAGUCCCAGCUGUAAACGAUGCAGACUCGGUGAUGGGUUG
rnacentral:rRNA from 1 species